GAUGAAGAACGUAGCGAAAUGCGAUAAGUAAUGUGAAUUGCAGAAUUCAGUGAAUCAUCGAAUCUUUGAACGCACAUUGCGCCCGCUAGUAUUCUGGCGGGCAUGCCUGUCCGAGCGUCAUUUCAACCCUCAAGCCCCCGGGCUUGGUGUUGGGGAUCGGCGAGCCUCCGCGCCCGCCGUCCCCUAAAUCUAGUGGCGGUCUCGCUGUAGCUUCCUCUGCGUAGUAGCACACCUCGCACUGGGAAACAGCGCGGCCACGCCGUUAAACCCCCAACUUCUGAACGUUUGACCUCGGAUCAGGUAGGAAUACCCGCUGAACUUAAGCAUAUCAGUAAGCGGAGGA
rnacentral:misc_RNA from 1 species